CAUCCUCCAAGGCUAAAUACUCCUGACUGACCGAUAGUGAACCAGUACCGUGAGGGAAAGGCGAAAAGAACCCCGGCGAGGGGAGUGAAAAAGAACCUGAAACCGUGUACGUACAAGCAGUGGGAGCACCCUUCGGGGUGUGACUGCGUACCUUUUGUAUAAUGGGUCAGCGACUUAUAUUCUGUAGCAAGGUUAACCGUAUAGGGGAGCCGUAGGGAAACCGAGUCUUAACCGGGCGUUAAGUUGCAGGGUAUAGACCCGAAACCCGGUGAUCUAGCCAUGGGCAGGUUGAAGGUUGGGUAACACUAACUGGAGGACCGAACCGACUAAUGUUGAAAAAUUAGCGGAUGACCUGUGGCUGGGGGUGAAAGGCCAAUCAAACCGGGAGAUAGCUGGUUCUCCCCGAAAGCUAUUUAGGUAGCGCCUCGUGAAUUCAUCUCCGGGGGUAGAGCACUGUUUCGGCUAGGGGGCCAUCCCGGCUUACCAACCCGAUGCAAACUGCGAAUACCGGAGAAUGUUAUCACGGGAGACACACGGCGGGUGCUAACGUCCGUCGUGAAGAGGGAAACAACCCAGACCGCCAGCUAAGGUCCCAAAGUCAUGGUUAAGUGGGAAACGAUGUGGGAAGGCCCAGACAGCCAGGAUGUUGGCUUAGAAGCAGCCAUCAUUUAAAGAAAGCGUAAUAGCUCACUGGUCGAGUCGGCCUGCGCGGAAGAUGUAACGGGGCUAAACCAUGCACCGAAGCUGCGGCAGCGAACGUAUCACCCAAGACAACUUUACGGAGUUGACGAUUGACGGAGCGAAGCGACGUCAAAGCGUUCAUUAAAGUCGAGUUGGCUUAGGGAUACGUUCGUUGGGUAGGGGAGCGUUCUGUAAGCCUGUGAAGGUGUGUCGUGAGGCAUGCUGGAGGUAUCAGAAGUGCGAAUGCUGACAUAAGUAACGAUAAAGCGGGUGAAAAGCCCGCUCGCCGGAAGACCAAGGGUUCCUGUCCAACGUUAAUCGGGGCAGGGUGAGUCGACCCCUAAGGC
rnacentral:rRNA from 1 species